GGGCAAGUGGUCUAGGGGUAUGAUAUCUCAUUCGCAUAAUAUUCAAAACAUGAGUCUUGAGAUGGUCCGGGGUUCAAUUCCCCGCUUGUCCA